GUACUCCUGCCCAACUUGCGCUUGCAUGGGUUCUUCAUCAAGGAGAUGAUGUUGUACCUAUUCCGGGUAAGCCUGUUCAUAUUUAAUUUGCAUUAAAUAUGGUAGGGUUUGAUGAGAGUUUGGCGUACUUAUUUUGUUAUACUUGAAAUAUUGUGAUUACUUGUCAAUGUUGUCAGAGAUUUUAUGCAAAACCGCAUAGUAAUGGAUAGUAACUAAAACAUUUAUUAUCAUAUUCACUCCAUGGAUUGUUUUUAUUUUAACAGUAACAUGCCAUUCAACUUGCAACAUUGUAGGUACGACUAAGAUAAAAAAUCUCCACGAUAAUAUUGGUUCCGUGAAAGUGAAGCUUACAAAAGAUGAUUUAAAAGAGAUCUCUGAUGCAGUCCCCAUCGAUGAAGUGGCAGGGUCAAAAUCUGACAGCGCUAUUGGUCGGGUCAAUGCGCAAUUUGCCGAUACCCCACCCCCAAAAUGAACAUUGCAAGAUUGUUGAUAAAUCUUUGUAUGUUAUGUUUUCAAAUGUGGGCUUCUGAUAUUUGUAACAAUUUUGUCGUAGACAUAUUGCUACUACUCUUGGUUCAAUAAUGCAAGUAAUGUUUCUCUUCAGUCACUAGGGUUGUAUCAUGAACUAUGAAUUAUCGAUAAAUUAUUAGUAAUUUUUUUUUUAAAGAAUAGUUGGUAGAUAAUUCAGUCAGGCGUGGAUUGCAUAUUUUGGCAUGAUAUAUUACACUUUUGUGUCUAUUUAUAUAUUUGUAAUUAAGGCCAUAUGAUCAAUAAAAAAUCUUUAAACAAGUUCUUCAUAAAUUUUCUCCCGAAUAUGGGUAUUUCAUUGUUGUUUACUAGUGACUGAUGCAACUCAAUACUCAUUGACAAUAGCAAAGAAGAAAAAUGGUAAAAUAAAAUGUAGUUCACCACCAUAGUUAUUUACAUUAAUUCCUUUAUCUUGUGCAUUGAACUUUUCAAGUUGCAUUGUUGGGAAGUUGCCAUAAAGAACCAAAAUUAGAAAAGGCAUCAAUUCCUUAAUGGAAUAACGUUGUCCAAGAAUUUUUAGAGAAUGAAUUGAUCAAGCCUUUCGUUACACGAUCAACCACUUUUGAUAUUAUUAAAUGUUUUAGAGAAAAAUCUUAUUUUUCAAAAUAACGCAGAACAAAACUUUUAAUCCACAACGAUUUUUCUCGAAGUGGGCAUUGUUAAACCUUACAAAUUUUGAACCCAUCGUAACGUUGUUUGAUCUAUAGCUCACGCCCUUGCUUAAGCAAUAAAGAGGCUGUUUUAAUUCUUCUCUCUUUCAAAAAGUUAAUCAAAAGAACAAAAAAUAAAAUAUGGGAAUGACACCAAAAAGUAGUUUUCCAUCGUAAUGCUUUUCACAAGUUAUUCCUUUAACAGAUAAGGGCAAGAGGACAUGUGGGGUUGCAGACUAGCCUAAAAAUCCAAUUCAACUUGCUUUUAUGCCAAGUGUAUGGACCUUAUAUAAGGAGAGUGAGUGGUGUCGAAAUCGGUGCUUAGAUACUUCAACAUCAUAGAUGGCCAUGGGCCACCAUUGGAUUGGGUGGAAUUAGUUUUGUUCAUGCUGAUUCAUUAUUGCUCCAAGGAUAAACCAUGACAUUGGCUACUUAAUAAGAAAAAUCGUCAUAAAAUUUUAGUCAAAAAUACUAUGGUAAAUUAAGAUGGAUAUUAUUAUGUGGUUGUCAACUUGCGGUUGCAUGGAUUCUUCAUCAAGGAGACGAUAUUGUACCUAUUUCGGUAAGCCCAUUCAUAUUCUAAUCUUGCUUUAAAGUUUGAUAAGACUUCGGCAUACUUAGCUUGGGAAAUUGUGAUUAGUUAUAUAUAUUUUUAGAAAUUUCACUCGAAUUGAUGAUGAGUGACAUGUAUAUUAUUAUAUUGAUCUCCUAAGUUGUUUUAAUCUUAAUAUUUACAUAUCAUUCGAUCUUGUAAUUAUAGGUACAAUCAAAAUAAAAAAUCUUCAUGAAAAUAUUGAUUCUGUGAAAGUGAAAGUUAAAAAAAUUAUUUUAAAAAGAUAUCUAAUGCAGUCCUUGUCAAUGAAGUGACAGGCAUUGGCGGACCCACGGUGGGUCAAAUGACUCAUUGUGGAUCUUUUGCAAAGUUGAGCGAUCAUUUGGACUAUUAUCCCUUAUUUAUAUAUUUCUACGCGAGGCCAUAUGAGGUCUUUGAAAGAUGUAUGUGAUCAAUAAAAAAAUGAUGGAAAAUAUGCUAUGCAAAAAUUUGUCCAUAGUGGAAGAAUGCAAUUUUUUGGUUUUUUAUUUUUUAUUCAAUGUACAAGGAAUAUUUAAAUUUUAAAGCUCUUCGAAUGAUUAGUUAAACUGAUGUGAUUAUUGUUCGUUAGAUUCUUUAACAUUUUUUUUUUCUGUGAAUUAAUGAUCUAGUUAAAUUAUUCUUUUUUAAUUUUACUUUGUCAUGAAAAGAUUCAUGUUUAGAUUAAGAAUAAUGCUACGUAGCCCGAUGGAGUUGCAAUCCCAAUCUAGUUGGCACUAGAUGAUAGGGUGAAUGAAAUAUAAAAUUAAAUGAUUUAUUUAAUUUCACAUAUUGUUUAAUACUACAUUAACGCCACUAGACUGAGAUUUUAAUUUCAGUGAGACUAAGCAUUACUCUUAAAUUAAAUAGGGCUCUCUCUUUCUCUCUCUCCUUCCACCUUUUAUUCUACUGUUUUUGGAUUUCGUGUUUGCUUUGGUUAAGCUACAUUUCGAUUUUGAUGUUACUUGUUGAAAAAUUUCUAACAUCCUAAGAAUCUUUACAUACUUGAAGUUUCAUAUCUAAAGCGAUGGAGUUCGGAAGAAUUUGAAAUUCUGAUAUGAUUUUAGUAAUAGCAGUGCAAUUUUUUCUACCAUUAUAUAUUCUUUUCUGUUAAUAUGUGGGUGUUUUUUUUCUUUUUUUCAAAACCAUUAAAUUUUGUUCUUGCUUGAAGACAUGUUUACUUUUAUCCAUCACACUGGUUUUCAUUUAGCGAAUAACAGUAUAGUAGAUAACUUAGAAUUUUAUGAUUAGUCUACUAUUGUUAGCAGGGGCGGAGCUGCAUGGAGUCCAAUGUAGGCCACUGCCUGCACUGAACUUUCAGAAAAAACUGGAGCUCUCAUGAAGUUGCCUGGAUUUUGAGAAAACCUGGACAAUUGAUUCUUCAUUUGGGAUUUUGUUUUUAUGGUAUGAUUCUAAGGCCUUUAUUUGAUGAAUCUAAGUCAUUUACCAAUCAAAUGUUUGAAUUCGCUCACCCAUAUAUAUAUAUAUAGACACACGCACACACACGUGUGUUGGCUGUGUAAGUUAAUGAAUGUGAGGGAGCGAGGGGGAGAGAGAGCGAGAGUGCACAAGUGUGUGAAAGAUAGUGAGUGGAGAUAAUUGAGAGAGAGAGCGAGAGGGAGGGCACGUGUAUGUGAAAGUAAGCGAGAGAGUGCACAAGUGUUAGAAAGAUAGUGAGUGGAAAUAAUUGAUAAUUGAUUGCUGUGUAUGUGUGGAGUUUUUUUACACAUUUGAGAUAAAAUUUGUGUUAAGUUUAUUCCUUAAAUAAAAUUCCAUUUGAUUUGGGAUUUAAAUUCAACAUAUGCCUGUGUAAAGAAAUAUAUUAUUGUAUUAAAAAAAAAACCAAUGCACUAACUGGACCAAAAGGAAAUAAUUGAUAAUUGAGUGUUGUGUAUGUGUGGAGUUUAUUUACACAUUUGAGCUAAAAUUUGUGUAAGUUUAUUUCUUAAAUAAAAUUCUAUUUGAUUUGGGAUUUAAAUUCAACAUAUAAAUGUGUAAAGAAAUAUAUUGUUGUAUUAAAAAAAAAAAAAAAAAACAAAUGCACUAACUGGACCAAAAAUUUCCUUUUUAAUUUUACAUGAUCUAAUGGGAGUACACUCCAUUCAAAUCCUCACGUCUCCAUAAUUAGAGCUCAUAUCUAGAUUAAUUACAAAAUAUCUUUCCCUAUUUUAUACCAAACUCGAACCUUCAAACUUUUUUGAGAAUUCAUCUCCAUCUUUAUAUGAAUAUUAAAUCAAAGUCACAAUAGUUUUUUGGUUAAAAAAUUUCAUUGUAGUUGUUCAAAAUCUCAUGUUUUCUUAUGCGCUAGGAUUUAUAAAGAUUAUGCUCAUGUUUUCUUAUGAACCAGGAUUUCCUAAGAUCACGUGAAAUUCUUUUCGUGAAAAGAAUAAUUGACCAAAAAAAUCAUUGUAGUCGAUUUCUAAAAUUACGCCCGCACGCUCAGAAAAAUAUUAAAUUUGCAGACGCAUCAAAAGUGUGAAACCAUGGAAAAAAAAAUUAUUCCUUGGAGUCAAUAAUUAUAUAUGGUGGAUAAUAUUUUAUAGAUUGAAUUCUUUUUGAUUGUCUAUUUUUAAUAAGAGAUAUAAAUAUAGAACAUGUGUCAUAUUUACGUGUGAAGAGAUAUAAAUAUAAAAUGUGUUUCAUAUGUACGUGUGAAGCAACAUAUUAUCAUAGUUAUUAAAAUCGGAUCGGAUGUCCGAGUGAUUUAAUUGAUUAAGCAAGCAUAUGAAUCGGUCAAGAAUCGGUUAAACCAUUAACCAACCCUUUGUACCAAACGAUUUUAGGUGGAACCAGAUCCGGUUCAAUGUGUGAAUCGAAUGGCUACUAAAUUGAAGUAAAAUUUUAUGUUAAAUUUGCUAAAAAGCUUUGUUUCGAACUUUGGCAACAAAGGAGACAUCUUACUCUAUGACCACUAUGGCAACUAAUGGUCCUUAAUCAUCUAAUGUGAGCAAUAUAUAUAUAUAUUAGAUUUCGAAAAAUGGUUUCUUUUUUUCUUUCAAAAAUAUAAUAUAAUUAAAAUUAAAGUCUAAUAAUAAUCCCCCGAUUGAAUUGCUGAUCCACCGAUUGAACCAUUGACUCGAAGAUUUUUUCGGAUCUACCACUGAGCAGUGAGUAUGGUCUAAUAUCUAUGCAUAUUACCAUUGAUGCAAAAUUGACAUGUGGUCUAAGAUAAGAUAAGGAAGAUAUUUAUAGAUAGAAAUUGGCAAGUGGCCUAAAAUAAAAGAAGAUAUUUAUGGAUAGGGUCAAAGUGUCAAGUUUUGAUUUAAUUUGGCCCUUGAUCAAACAUGGAUGAAUACACACCUAUAAAUGAGUGUUACUCAUCAACAUGAUGACGAACAUUUUAUACCCAUAUGAUAUAGAAUUUUGAAUAAAUGAGUUUGUAUCAAAUGAUUUAUUAUUGUUGUUAUUAUUAUUAUUAUUUUUUGGAAAAUACUAAAAAUAAAAUAAAAAAUUCAUGAAUCCUUGCAUAUUUUAUUCAGAGAAUCCAUAAUUGAGAAUGAAUUCAUAAAAAAUAAGUUUUAGAAAAAGGGUACUUACAAGGCUUAAUGUAGCUGAAGAGUCCUUAAGCCCCCAUUGGACCCCUAUUAAUUCUCAUUCUAUUCCAUUUCAUUUUUCUCCCUUCUUCUUUCAACAACACAAUUUUCCAUGCAAUAAUAUUAUACGUAAAUGAAAAAUUUUUCAAAAAAAUACAAUUUUCAUUUACACAAAAUGGGGGCCAAACAGGGACAAAUAAAUGUUUAAUGUCUAAAAAGGUGAAGGCAUGCUACUUGGACAUGGAGGUGUCCAAAUAGGGGGCGAUGUGGCGCCCAUAUCGGCGCAAUAGAUCCAAGAAAACAAAUUCAAAUAAGGGAAUAAUUUGCUUUGGCAUUUAAUCAUGAAGAAACAUGAUAUAUAUCAAUGUCCUACAUUGCCCCCUAUUGGCGCAAUAGAUGCAAGAAGAAAAAUUCAAAAAGGUAAUAGUUUGAUUUGGCAUUUAAUCAUAAAGAAACACGAUAUAUAUCAAUGUCCUAGAAUGAUAUGAAUGCGUUUAAAUAUACACUUAUUUUACAUACCAUCUCAUAUUUAUCAUUUUGAAUAUCGAUAAAAAAGAAUUUAAUAUAAAAGUACCCAUAAUCAUAGAUAUUUUUUUUUGUCAAAUAAGUAAUUUUUAAAAAUAAAAAUACCAUGAUCAUAGAUGUUUUAAUGUCCCUUAAAAAAAAAAAAAAAACUCUUGAGCCUCAUUUUUUUAUUAAAAUAUAUUUUUCAACAGUAUUUGACUCCAGUUCGACUACACAUUAUUUAAUAAAAUAAUUUACAUGUAAAUUCAUGACUUUUUUUAAUCACACAUUUUGAUCCGUACAAUAUUUAAAAAUGCUUCUUCUUUUUUUUUUUUAUUAUAAAAAUAGAUCUAGGGCUAAGUGAAAAGCGAACUCGCUUACGUCAGCCAUGUGUAAUGGUGUCUAUAGAUAGGCUCAAUUGCUGGACACUAGAGCCAUCUCACUGAAAGCAGCACUGUCUAGUUCAAAGAUAGAGAAGAAACUUUCGCAAUGGCUGAACAAAUCGAGAUGCCGCGCGUGAAACUUGGAACCCAAGGACUCGAGGUAUAUGUUAAAUUUGAUUAAUUCAGUUUCGGAUUCGAUUCAAUUUGUAGAUCUGAAUUGAAUUUUUUCUAUACCCUAUAAAACAUGUGAUCUUUCGGUAACCUUACCGAUUAUUGCUUAGAAUCCUAAAAACAACCCAUUUGUUCGUGAAUAAGCUACUGAUUGCGUAUUUAUGACAAAUUUUUACCGUUCUGUUGAGGUGUCUCGCGGUGUUGCGUACGUGGCUGACGGUGCCGGGGAAUUGGCAUUAAUAAGCUAGAAACUCUAGUUCCACAUUUGAUUGUGGUUUCACAACUGUUAUUUAUUAUUUAAACGUUUUGAUGCUUUCAUUUUUUUGGAGCUCUUUGGUUUUGUUUUGCCGUUUAAGUUUGGCCAUAGGACAUAUCACCAAAUUCGUUAAAUCGAUUAAUUUAGUUGGAUAGGUGGUUAACGACUUAAUAAAAGUUGGGUACUUGAAGUUUCACAUUUUGAAAAAUUAAUUGUUUCAAUGGUCGAUGAACUUAGGUCCAUGUCUUUUUUCAUUGGUCACUCAAGUUUAAAAUGUCAAGAUUUGGUUAUUGAACUUAGAUCAAUAUUUUCGAUUGCUCUUCGAACUUAGGUCCAUGUCUUAUAUUUUUCAUUGAAAUUUAAAAUGUCGAGUUUUGACCACUGAAUUUUGGAUUAUACCGUAUGUUACUUAUUAGCUAGCAUAAUUGUUGAAUUUUGAAAAAUAUCAAGUUUACAGUGAAUAAUACACAGCAAUUUUCAAAAUUUAUUGAGUAAUGUACAACAUUUUUCAAAAUUCAUUUGACAAAACUCGAUAUUUUAAACUUCAAUGAGCAAUUGAAGGCAUGAACCUAAAUUUAGUGACCAAAAUUCGACAUUUUUAAUUUCUGUGACCAUUCAAAGACAUGGACUCAAGUUCGGUGACUAUGGGAACAAUUAACUCCACUUUGAAAAUUUGGCUACCAACAGAGUUUUUAAACCCUCUUUAAGACAUGAGAAAUCAGAAAUAUAGUUGAUUAAAGAAAGACGAAGAAUAUACAUAUAGAAUUCUUGCAGACUGAUGUUGUUUGUGCAUUCCCACCCCGCAUUAAGCUCCAGCAAAUUGAUUGGAAGAUAAUGCAAUGAUUCAUUUGUUUUCUUCAAAUAAUACUUUCUUAAAUCUCUUUACUUCAUCCAAUGACUUGUUUUUUCUCUUAGGUAUCAAGGCUAGGUUAUGGUUGUAUGGGGCUUUCAGGUGCCUACGGUAAUCCUGUCCCUGAGGAGGAUGCAAUUGCAGUAAUCAAAGAGGCAUUUAGUAAAGGCAUCACAUUUUUUGACACAUCGGAUGCUUAUGGUCCGGACCAUGCCAAUGAGUACCUGGUGGGGAAGGUAGGUGCUUUACUGAGAUACUUACUCUUGAUCAUGGCAGCACAUUUGAAUUUAUGUGCUGGCAAGAUACUUCUUUUGUCAUCGAAAGUUGAUGUGAACAACAAUAAUGGUAUUCUAUGGCAUCAAGCUGAUCUAAAUAAAGUUCCAUUUCCUUGCGUAUAACUCUGCGAUAAUAAAACAACACGUGGAAAUUUUGUGACAGAAAGAAAAAGGACAGACAGCUUCAUUUCGCGAAUAUAUCCGUUGAAACUUCUUGUGUUUAUUGAAAAUAUUAUUGAACUUAACGUGAUUGAAUUUUUUCUUCAAAAGUUGAGAACAAUAGUUGAUAAAAGUCCAGCUAUCGGCUAUUGUAUCUGUAAGUUAUAUAAAGUGUGUGAUAUUAAAAAAACUGAAUUGGCGAACAAUUAUCUCUUUGAAAAAAAUAUAAUUUUGUCUUUAGAUGAUUCUUGAAGUUAUGUUUAACUUAAAGUUUCCCUUCCUGGCCUCUUAUUAGAUUAUUAUUAAUUCAGAAACCAGUAAAUGUAACCAUAAGCACUUCAUGGUCACCUUUGAGUUGUCUUAACUUAGGGAAUUCAUAUUUUGCAGGCAUUAAAGCAGUUACCGCGAGAAAAAGUCCAAUUAGCUACAAAGUUUGGUGUAGCCGGGUAUGAUGCAUCUGGAGUUAUAGUGAAAGGUUCACCUGAAUAUGCCCGCUCUUGCUGUGAGGCUAGCCUGAAGGUUCUUGGCGUGGACUAUAUCGAUCUUUACUACAUACACAGAAUUGAUGCUACUGUGCCUAUUGAAUACACAGUGAGUUUUUCAUUUUUAAAACUUUGGGGCCACUAACCACGUUUUCUCUUUGCUUGCAUUCAUUUUUCUUAUCAUUCUUUCGUUUCCUUUUAACAAUAUGAUCGCACUUGUUGAUAAAAUUGUUUUUGAGUUGUAGAUUGGAGAACUUAAAAAGCUAGUUAAUGAAGGUAAAAUAAGAUAUAUUGGAUUGUCUGAAGCUAGCCCAGACACAAUAAGGAGAGCUCAUGCAGUUCAUCCUAUUACUGCAAUUCAAAUGGACUAUUCCCUUUGGAUUCGUGACAUUGAAGAAAAAAUAAUUCCACUUUGCAGGUUUCCAUAUUUCUUAAAUAUUUCCGUUGUAACUCUGAUUAAAUAUUACAUUUUCAGCUAACUAUUUGGUCAGUUUCUACUUUCUCAUGUUUAAAUUUUUAGAUUAAUUUCGUACAAUAUAAAUUUCUUGACGUCAUUUUCAUCCUAGGAUUAACAGUACAGUGCUCUGCUCCUAUUUUCUAUUAUAAUCCUUUAUGUUUUUAUAUUUUUCUUCAUGAAGUUAAUUUUGCAACAUUAAGUAAUUAAAACUACAAUCGCAGUUAGUGUGUUGAACAUUAUGCUUUUAAUGAGAAUACUGGAAGUAUUUUUACUACCCUCUUUUUAUCAAUGCUUCGAUACCUUGAUUCGUCUUCUUUCAACUACUACGCUUCAAGUUUGUGUAGUUUCGCAUCUUAUUUUUAUGCUUCCUAUUCAAAAAUUGUGAUCUCAUAAAUUGUUUCUUUUUGGGAAUGGAUACAGGGAACUUGGGAUCGGAAUAGUUCCCUACAGUCCCUUAGGUCGAGGGUUUUUUGCUGGGAAGGCAAUCGUGGAAAGUGCGGAUCCAAAUAGCUCAUUGGUGUGUGCGCAUCUAUAUUUUCUAAUCUUCAUUGCAUUAUAUCUUCUUUAGUAUCAAAGAUCAUAUAGUAGUUUAUUCACUCUUGUAAUCUCUAGUUGCUGAAAAGCUGUGUAAUUUUCGUACUAUCAGACAAGUCACCCAAGGCUUCAAGGAGAGAAUUUUGAGAAGAACAAAGUCCUAUAUUUUCGCAUAGAAGCGUUGGCUAAGAAGCAUGGAUGCACACCAGCUCAACUUGCGAUCGCAUGGGUUCUUCAUCAAGGAGAUGAUAUUGUACCUAUUCCAGGUAAGCCAAUCAUAUAAGAAGCUUUGCUUUAAAUGCUCUAGUGGAAACCAUGUUGGACAGAUUGGAAAUGUAGAGAUUUAAAGAAAUUGGAUCUAUAUGUUUAAAUUAGCCUAGUGUACGAGAUGAUCAGCCUUUCCCUUGGGGGGUUCAUGUACUUGAGAUUAGUAAGACUUUGGUAUAAUUAUCGAGUCUUUUUGUUUCUUGAUUAGAUAUUAGUAUGCUUCUUGGAUUGUCAUCAUAAAUUAUUGUUGUUUUAAAUAGGUAAGAACUUAUUCUCUAUGGAUAUCCUACACUUUCAAGUUGUGGGUUUCAAGACCCACUUUAGAAGUAGAAAUUAUAUUCAUUUGUGCCUGUAGAUCUCCUCACGGUUGAGAGAUUUAUUUUUGGAUAAAUCUUGGUGUACAUAAAAUAUGUACAAAGGGGUGUCCACAUCCCUUAGAUGGGGUGGUUCCUACCUUGUGCGGUCUCAAGUACAUGUGGGAUGUGGACACCCCUGUAUAUCCAAAUUAUGUACACCAAGUACAACCCUUUAUUAGACUUGUUUCUAAUGAUAUUUUUCAUCAUCUUUAUGGGCC
rnacentral:lncRNA from 1 species